rnacentral:ribozyme from 1 species
CAAAGACAUCAACAAAAUACAAGAAAAUCUGACAAAAAAACAGCAAACAACCCUGUCCCUCGUGCUUCCCCACUUCUUUACUUCUCCUUUCUCUUCCCCCAACCCCCCUAACUUAGCCCCUUUAAAUAAUAACAAUAAGG